UACGAAGGGGGCUAGCGUUGCUCGGAAUCACUGGGCGUAAAGGGUGCGUAGGCGGGUCUUUAAGUCAGGGGUGAAAUCCUGGAGCUCAACUCCAGAACUGCCUUUGAUACUGAAGAUCUUGAGUUCGGGAGAGGUGAGUGGAACUGCGAGUGUAGAGGUGAAAAUUCGUAGAUAUUCGCAAGAACACCAGUGGCGAAGGCGGACUCGACUGGCCCGUGACCUGACG
rnacentral:rRNA from 1 species